AGCGAACGCUGGCGGCAGGCCUAACACAUGCAGGUCGAACGGACCUUUCGGGGUUAGUGGCGGACGGGUGAGUAACACGUGGGAACGUGCCUUUAGGUUCGGAAUAGCUCCUGGAUACGGGUGGUAAUGCCGAAUGUGCCCUUCGGGGGAAAGAUUUAUCGCCUUUAGAGCGGCCCGCGUCUGAUUAGCUAGUUGGUGAGGUAAUGGCUCACCAAGGCGACGAUCAGUAGCUGGUCUGAGAGGAUGACCAGCCACAUUGGGACUGAGACACGGCCCAAACUCCUACGGGAGGCAGCAGUGGGGAAUCUUGCGCAAUGGGCGAAAGCCUGACGCAGCCAUGCCGCGUGGAUGAUGAAGGUCUUAGGAUUGUAAAAUCCUUUCACCGGUGAAGAUAAUGACUGUAGCCGGAGAAGAAGCCCCGGCUAACUUCGUGCCAGCAGCCGCAGUAACAC
rnacentral:rRNA from 1 species